rnacentral:tRNA from 1 species
GCCUCCGUGGCUUAAUGGUAAAGCGUCUCACUCGUACCGCUAAAGUCCGCAAUGAGAAGAUCCUCGGUUCGAUUCCGAGCGGUGGCA